rnacentral:rRNA from 1 species
UGGGGAAUCUUGGACAAUGGGCGAAAGCCUGAUCCAGCCAUGCCGCGUGAAUGAUGAAGGCCUUAGGGUUGUAAAAUUCUUUCAGCAGGGAAGAUAAUGACGGUACCUGCAAAAGAAGCCCCGGCUAACUCCGUGCCAGCAGCCGCGGUAAUACGGAGGGGGCUAGCGUUGUUCGGAAUUACUGGGCGUAAAGCGCGCGUAGGCGGAUCGGUAAGUUAGAGGUGAAAGCCCGGAGCUCAACUCCGGAACUGCCUUUGAUACUGCCGGUCUAGAGUUCAGGAGAGGUGAGCGGAAUUCCGAGUGUAGAGGUGAAAUUCGUAGAUAUUCGGAGGAACACCAGAGGCGAAGGCGGCUCACUGGACUGAUACUGACGCUGAGGUGCGAAAGCGUGGGGAGCAAACAGGAUUAGAUACCCCCGUAGUCC